rnacentral:rRNA from 1 species
GAUGAACGCUGGCGGCGUGCCUAAUACAUGCCAGUCGAGCGAACGGACGAGAAGCUUGCUUCUCUGAUGUUAGCGGCGGACGGGUGAGUAACACGUGGAUAACCUACCUAUAAGACUGGGAUAACUUCGGGAAACCGUAGCUAAUACCGGAUAAUAUUUUGAACCGCAUGGUUCAAAAGUGAAAGACGGUCUUGCUGUCACUUAUAGAUGGAUCCGCGCUGCAUUAGCUAGUUGGUAAGGUAACGGCUUACCAAGGCAACGAUGCAUAGCCGACCUGAGAGGGUGAUCGGCCACACUGGAACUGAGACACGGUCCAGACUCCUACGGGAGGCAGCAGUAGGGAAUCUUCCGCAAUGGGCGAAAGCCUGACGGAGCAACGCCGCGUGAGUGGUGAAGGUCUUCGGAUCGUAAAACUCUGUUAUUAGGGAAGAACAUAUGUGCAAGUAACUGUGCACAUCUUGACGGUACCUAAUCAGAAAGCCACGGCUAACUACGUG